CAAGUAUUACAUGUUCUGCUGCGUGAAUUUUUUCUUCUAGUGCUUCAAUACUAUCGGUUGACAAAAUGGGAACCUCUUGCACGAUAAUAGGUUUUCCUUCAUCGACUGCUGCAAUCACCCAAUGUACCAUAGCACCGGUGUGAGUGAUCUUUCCUUGCUGGGCAGCUUCGAACGCGCGUUCGAUAGCAUGAAUACCGUUAAAAGCGCCAGGAAGAGCUGGAUGAAGAUUAAUAAUUCCGAUUUUAUUUGUUUCUAAAGGAAUCAACACUUCUGGGGACAAAAUGUGCAUCCAUCCAGCACAGACAACCAAGGAUGGUUGAAGCUUAAUUAUCUUUUCCGCCAACUCAGCAUCAUACUUUUUUCUUCCUAUCUCAGGUCCGUAUUCCUUUUUGUAGGGUAACAAUGUAUGCAAAGACGUUGGUAUCCCAGCUUUCGCGGCUCUUUCUAAGCCAUAAGCAUUUUUGCGGUUUGACAAAACGUGCGUUACAGCUGCUUCUCCCUUUAAAACUCCAUUCAGCGUAGCAUCAAUUAUUGCUUGGAGGUUAGAACCUGAUCCCGAAAUUAACACGACAAGUGAAGCUACCAUCUUGUACGAAGUGGCCGGUGGUAGUCAGGUGAAGAUUAUUGUUAUGAAGAAGCUUACUUGAAAAAAAAAUUUUUUUUUCAUAAAGAUCAAUAGUUAUAUUAAAUGUUAAUAUAAAUAUUUAGUACUGUGACUUUGAUACAUAAGUUUUUUAACAGCUGAAUUUCUAAUUAACUAAACAUCCAUUAUUAGCUGCUAGUUAAGGAUUGCUUAAGGGUCCGAUGAUAAAAGAUCAAAAGAUAAAUUUAAUAAUUUAAACUAUUCGUUUAUGUUUCUCGUAGUAACUCGAAACCUUGAUUUGGUUCUACGAAUUAACUUGACCUCACUUCAGCAACAUAAAAUUCUCUUUUAUUAAUUUCGUCGCUCUCACUGAUGCUUUAGCAUCAGGCGAAAUUUAUUUGUUAUCUUUACUACUCUUCGUCAGAUUAAUAAACUUUUUUUUUAUUUCAUAUAAUA